UCCCCAGUGGCGCAGUUGGUUAGCGAUCGGGACUUAUAAUGCCGGGGGUGUGAGUUCGAGCCUCACCUGGGGAA
rnacentral:tRNA from 1 species